UAAUACGUAGGGAGCGAGCGUUGUCCGGAUUUACUGGGUGUAAAGGGUGCGUAGGCGGCCGAGCAAGUCAGUUGUGAAAACUAUGGGCUUAACCCAUAACGUGCAAUUGAAACUGUCCGGCUUGAGUGAAGUAGAGGUAGGCGGAAUUCCCGGUGUAGCGGUGAAAUGCGUAGAGAUCGGGAGGAACACCAGUGGCGAAGGCGGCCUACUGGGCUUUAACUGACGCUGAGGCACGAAAGCAUGGGUAGCAAACAGGAUUAGAUACCCUGGUAGUCCAUGCCGUAAACGAUGAUUACUAGGUGUGGGGGGACUGACCCCUUCCGUGCCGCAGUUAACACAAUAAGUAAUCCACCUGGGGAGUACGGCCGCAAGGUUG
rnacentral:rRNA from 1 species